UGACUUGUCAGACAGAGCUUCUAAAGCCU
rnacentral:piRNA from 1 species